GGGUUACUCCCGCGCUCACGCGCUUGGUUGAUACAGAUUCGCACCUAUAUCAACCCGGGUAACCCCACCCUUGGGCAAGGCCCAUCUGUCAGAUCAAGUCGGAACUACUACAAAUUAGAAGACCGGCGGCAUCCACCCCAAAUCGGACUAUCGCCAUUCUUACGACGAAUUGUUCCUUUUGGAUUUGGAUCAAGUCCAGUUG
rnacentral:sRNA from 1 species